AUGGAAGGACUACUACACUGGGAUUUCUCCCCCGGACAAGCGGUGGAGGCACAUGUGCGUGCAAGGUUUGGAUCCACAGUCCACUUUUCACCCUCUACGGCAGCCAAGGAAUUCUAUUUGGUUGUGGCUUCCUCUUCUGCCUCGUUCCCUCUCACAGAAGAAUCAGUGAGUCUUGCCCUUCAAUGUUGCAUUGGUGGUUCUUCCAUUGGUUUUCGUGUUAAGCACUUGGCUGGUAGACAUUUUCGGUUUUCGUUGGCCUCCAACAAAGUGGGACACUUCAUCUAUGGGCUUAAGGACCGCAUUUGGCCAGAUUUCAUCUUUCAUUUCAAUCUUUAUCGCCACAACUCUUGGAACUAUUCUUUGAUGAAUUCUACUUAG
rnacentral:rRNA from 1 species